CUCCACUACCUCUCCUCUCUCUCGUACCAGAAAAGACAAAAAAAGAAAAUAGAUAAAUGGGAACGUUACUCUCUCACUCUCAGACCACUAUUCACUCUCUCAAAAAAAAGACAAUCUCUCAAUUUCCUCUCAACUCUGAGCUCACACAAUCCCCUUCCUCUCUCGCCCCAAAUCUCUCACUCUCAAUUCUCAGCUGAAACUCUCACCGACAAACCCUCCUCUCUAAAAUCCGCCGCCACCACCUUCUACCACCACUAAACACUCACCAACCGUCAACCCUCCGAAUCCUUCAUCAUCUUCGUCAUCGCAACUCAACCGUUCACCGCCACCCAAAACCCCUACCGUCGCGGCGACUUCCACCUUCAAACCCUUAAACCACCUUCGAAACACCGUCAAAACCGCCGUCGCUCUCACCGGCAAACUCUCUCCAUCUACCUUCAAAUCGCGCCCUCACCGACAAACCCACACGAAACCUACUCAUCUCACAAUCUCCAAGCCGUCACCAUCCAUCAUCGCUUCCGUCCACAAUCGCGACCCAUCUUCACCGCUAAAACCUAAUCUCUAAAUCCGCCGUCAUCACCGUACCGAAGCCGUCGGUGACUUGUCAGUUCGCAACUAUCUUCGACCUUCAUCAACAGUUUGGGAUUGUGUUGUGUAAUUUUUCUGUUUUUUCAGGGAAAGUCUGAAGCUUUAGAGCCAUGGGUCCAGCACCGGUGACGAUUACAACUAGCCUCUGUUGAUAGCUUCAAAAGGAUUUUCUUAUGAUUCUGGAAACGGUUUCAAGUCGCGCUGAUUCCUCUUCUUCCGCAACAACCACAAAGACCGUUAUUACUCUACCACUCUCAGCACGGCGUCGAAACCGCUUCUUGUCCACAUUAAAGCAAGCCGGGCAGAUUGUUGAAACACCAUGGAUACGGGGAUUGGGUGGAAGAUCUCAGGCUGUUGCUGAUGAUGUACUCCUGAAAUAAGCUCUUGACAACUAUCCGUCUGUACGGUAACAGAUCGAUUUAAGCUUAUUUUAGAAUUAUGAUUGUUUCAUGACAGUAUUUGAUAUCUCUGGAUAAUGUGUGUGUUUGUGAUUUUUAUCUUCCGAUUCGUUCUGGUGGUAGAUGGUAUCAACAUAUUUUAUGCUGAAAAUUUCGUUGAGGAUUGUAAAUUUUUUCUCUGAAUAUUGUUACUCUGUGUCGUUACUGUUUCGUUUUGUGUUGAUACUACAAUAGCCCUGUAUAUAAUCACAAUUUGCGGUGACAUACUUUGAUACCAUUUUUAUUGUACAUAUUCAACUCUUGAUUAUGACUUGUUUUAGCUAUAUCAAAAGGAUUUGUUUUGUAUUGCCUGUGAAGUUUAUAGUUGCUUGUAGUAUCUCGUUCAUUUUUCAUUUGAAUUGAGAUUUGGAUUAUGAAUACCAACGUGCUUGCUUAUACACAACUUAUGCGACUUUCAGUUUGGAUUAUAUUUGGGAAGAUAUUUUAAGUGGGAACUGUAUUAAAAUUCUGCUCUUGAAUUAUUAGAUUAGUUUGUGGAUGGAUCACUAUUGUUGGUGCAAAUGAGUUAUUAGCCCACGGCAUUAUCAGAAUUCUAAUAAUCUCAUGAUUGGUUUACAACGAUUUUCUCAAAUGCAUGUUGUUUUUAUUGCUGAAAUUUAAAUUGGAUUAUCAAUUGCCUAAUGGACUUUAUAGUGUAUAUAUAAGUCUACUUUAAUCAUAAGGCAUNAGUUCCUUCCUUGAAAACACAAACUUUAGAACCUACCCUUGGGAAUUUCUAGUAAUCAGAAAAACCCGUAUUUCUUCCUGUUAUCCUGACGUACCCGACGUGUGAAUAAUCUUAAGUCUGUAUUCCUUUGCAAAAAACAUGGCAAAAUUUCAUGCAUUUGCAUAUCAUCAACAUGCAUUGCAUAUCAUCUCCCAGAAACAAAAUCUCACACCAUGUUCUGCCCUUUGUCCAGUAAACGCUGACUACUCGACACCGGUACGAGACACGCCGCAAUUACAAGAUGACACUUGAACAGCUUGAAGCUAACCAAGUUUCGAUGAGGACCGACAUUGACUCCAUGCAGGCAAAGAUGGAUCGCUUGCUUGAGACCAUGUUACUCUUGGCUCAGAAGGAGAAGGAUGCUGAGACUAACGCCGAAGCCAGGAAAAUUGCUGCCCAAUUUGGAUCACCAUCGCUCAGUAUCCCUGGAGUGAUUGACCUUGAUGGUAACCCUAAUCAGCCUAGAGAAGGACCGAUCCCUAUUCCGAUCCCAAUGGACAAUAUAAAACCCCACGAGCAUUCUACUGUAUCUGCUCGACACGGAUCUGUGAUAUGUGAUGAAGAUCCAUAUGACGCUUUCUUCAUGCCACAGCCCGUCCAGCCUGCUGUUGGAGGUCUCCCAGACCCAGCUGUUGACAGACUCCAUGCGUUGGAGGAAAAGUUUAAGUCCUUGGAGGUUCACACUACUCCCGGUUUGGACGCCGUCGAUAUGUGCUUGGUGCCAGGCCUUGUGAUUCCACAGAAGUUCAAAGUCCCGGACUUUGACAAGUACAAAGGGAUCAGCUGCCCAAGAACACACCUCAGAGCUUACUGCCGCAAAAUGGCCGCCCACAUCAGUAAUGAUCAACUCCUGAUUCAUUACUUCCAAGAUAGUCUCAGUGGGGCAUCUUUGGAGUGGUACAUGCAACUGGAGAGAGGACAGGUCCAAUCAUGGAGAGACCUUGCUGAAGCAUUCCUCAGGCAUUAUCAGUACAACACUGAUCUAGCACCCAAUCGCACCCAACUGCAAGACAUGACUCAACGCAACAAUGAGUCAUUCAAAGAAUACGCCCAGCGGUGGAGAGAGCUAGCAGCUCGUGUUCAACCUCCUCUCUUUGACAAAGAGCUAAUUGACAUGUUUAUGGGAACCCUACACACCCAGUACAUGGAGAAGAUGGUAGGAUCCAGUUUCCCAACUUUUGCUGAGGUCGUCUCCGUGGGAGAACGAAUCGAGAGCCAGAUCAAGAAGGGGAAACUACCUUGCGCUGCUAAUGCUUCAAGUGGGAUGAAGAAACCUUAUCCUAAUCUCCCAAAGAAGCCAGAAGGUCAAACCAAUUCCAUAAUGGGAGGAGGAGGAUAUAGGGCACGCCCGUAUGCUCCUAUGCCUUAUAAUCAGGUUGCCGCUGUCGUCCCGACACCAUAUCAGCCUCCAUAUCAGCAACCCCAUCAACAACAAUAUCAACAGCCUUAUCAACAAACAGCUUAUCAGCAUCAGAAUCAACAUCGACGUGCUCCACAACCACGUCCCCCCAAUCAGCAGAGGGCAAGGAGGCCAGAAAGGCAUUUCGAUCCUUUGCCAGUAUCAUAUAGCAAGAUCCUCCCCUACCUGCUAAAGGAUGGAUCGGUCGUUCUGAAGGAGAUAACACCUGUAACUCCACCAUAUCCUCCAGGCUACGACGCCAAUGCUCACUGUGAGUAUCACAUGGGUGCUCCAGGGCACACAAUAGAGAACUGUAAGGCUUUCAAGCACAAGGUUCAAGAUUUGGUUGACAGUAAAGCACUUACAUUCACGCCAGUGAGGCCAAACGUUGCAACAAACCCCAUGCCGGCGCAUGCAGAAUCAAGUGAAGCUCGAAGGUAAAGCUUCCCACCGGCCUAAACAAGCAGAGCAAUUCCGCUGAAGAACCCAGAGAUGAAGGCUUGUUCAUUUGAAUGAAGGCAAUCCUGAUGCCAUUUUUACCAUUUUGCAUUCUUGUAAUUUGAUCUUGUUUGUCUAAGUACUGUACGCUUUAAACAUUGUUAUUUGUAUUUGGUUUUGUUAAUGGGAUGGUUAUGCAUGCUUUGAAUCAAUCUUUCNGGAUGAAACCCUGCUGAUGAUGUACAGGCAUUGUUUCAAAUCCCCAAACACUGGAGAGAUAAGGAGUUAAUCCCUAGUCAACCACUUCGAGCCUAGAAGUAGGAGUUUCUUUCAGAUCUAAAAAACCUUUACGCUUAACCUGGGGCAGGGUAGUGUUCAGUUAACCUGACUACACAUACAAAUUACAAAGGUGAAGUAUCCCAUACGAGGAUCAACCAUAUGACACUCUUCACACACAUCAUGAAGUGUCGAAGGAACCAUACAAAUCCAGAAUCUAUGUCGGUUGUUCUUCAAUGACCAAUGUCCUGGCAGUCACAAUUAAAAAAAAGGUCGAAGAAAGAGCCCGCUAAGUCGAACACCCUAAAAGGAGACUUAGGCAAAAAACAGGGGCAAUCCCGAUGGAUUAAAGCUUCAAACAAAGCGGUCCAUGCAAAAGUUAGGGAUCAAAACAAAAAAUCGAAAGAGACAAUGAAAGUCCUCAACAAAAGCAAAACAAGAUUCAGUGACCACCAUACCAAAAUCAAAGGGUCGCCGACAUCCAAAAAAACGAAAUAAGGUGGCUGCCAUUCCAAGGGACUUUGAACCACCAUCUUUAUCCUUACACAUGCAAGAGAAGAAUGUGUGUGAAUUAACUGAACAUAGGAUUGGAGAUCAUCAUGAAGAAGGGGUGGGUUAAAAUAAACUUUGAGCCUUAUAUCCUUUUGUUUCAAAACCAUCGACCAACACAGCAACGCCUCAAAAGACCAAGUUGAGUAGUGGUUUAUUCUGAAAGCAUACAUACAAGUUAGUAACUGACUCCUAAAUAUUUUCCAAUAUUCUCCUCUCACUAUAUCACUCACACACUAGCUAAAUCAAGCACCGCGUUUGGACACAUGAUCCACUCGCCACACACUACCACAACACUUCCCAAAUGAAUGAUUAUUUUUCAAAACUUGCAUAACUGUUGCAUUAACAUCACCAUUUCGUAGAUAACAAUUCUUAAUUGUCAGUCAGUGCUUGACAUCGGAAAAUUCCAACAAGGAGUAAUUCAACGGGCACUUGAUUGUUGGUGCUGACACGAAUCCAGACCAUCCUGUGAAUCAGGGGCAUGGCAUCUUUUGAUCAUAUUGACCUAAGAAGUAGUCUGUGUAAGACAAAUCUCCAAGCAUCGGUUGAUCAGGGAGAAAAACACUUCAGUACUCGGCCCGUCUGAAGCAGGUCCCUCAAAGGCUAAUCAGGGGCAGACCAUAGCCAGAUUUGGACAUCAGGAAACAAACUCAGACCAUGUCAUGGGAUAAUCACUCCUAAGGUUUCUUGCAGGGAGAAUUCCUUUGAACACCCUACAAACAGGGGCAAGACAAGUUGCAAGGGGCAAAAUUCCCUUCAUAUCUUCAAGACAGUCAGGCAGAUUGCGUCAAACAUUAGUGACUGCUUGAAUUCACAACCAAAAUGUCAAAAGUUCGUACCAGUACAACAUCAUGCCUUGACAAGAAUCCUUGAGGCACGUCAAAAGCACAAUCAUCAUGCGCUGAUCACGUCGCUAUGCUCAGUUACAAGCUGGCCAAACACUUCAGAAGAAGAAACCAAGAUCUUCUCAAAGACAAAUACUCAACAUAUCAGCAAGAGAUCAAACCUGGGGCACCAAGAGUAUCCACAUCCAUUUCGUGUUCAUCAUAUCAUCAACUACUGAGUGUCGGGAAUGUCAGAUCCUUUCACCAAUCAAUAGCAUAUCCACAUUGACAAUUACCAAAAAAACCUAAAGCCCACAUUGUUGGCACCCACAUAAAACCAAAUAUAACCAACUUUGGUUUCCAGAAGAUGCAUUGCCUUUGAAAGGGGGGCCAAUCCCAAACAAACCAAUCAUUCUUUGCAUACAAACAUGCAUUUCAUGCAUCAUAUGCAUCACCUCAUACAUAAUACAUACAUAUCAUUCAUGUACAUAACACAAAUCAAGAUCCAAGGUUUAGUCGUAGGCAUACAGGCCAACCCUCAGUUGAGUCGUUAUUUUUCUCUGAGUGAGUUCCUACCCUACUAUCGGGCGUUCCCCAUUGAGUUACAUCCUUCAACCUUUUGUUGAUAAGAUGUUAUCCUCAGCUUAGUCAAACAAUGUUUCUUUAAACACCUAUUUUUUUUUUCACGUUGAGCGUCCCUCAAUGAGUCGUUUCCCAUAACCUUUUGUUGACAGAAAUUACAUCUCCCCAGAGAACAUUGGCUCUGCAACCUUUUGUUGUUGAUACCCCCAAGCAAGUCUUACCCAAUAAUGUCCCAAUACUACCCAACAAAUCGGGUUUACUGGACUUUGACAGUAGCCUUAUUUUUCCAAUAUUUUUCUCACUACCAUCCUUUUGGUGAAAGUCCAUGGAGGAAUAAUACCAGUCAUCACCUUGUUUAUGAUCACCGUUAUCCUUUUGGUAAUGGUAAAUUCUUGACAUUUGUGAUCUUACUGUCAUCCUUUUGGUGUCGAAGAUCAUUGAAGUUUUAAGCUAACCUUCAUCCUUUUGAAUCACCUUGUUUAUGAUCACCGUUAUCCUUUUGGUAAUGGUAAAUUCUUGACAUUUGUGAUCUUACUGUCAUCCUUUUGGUGUCGAAGAUCAUUGAAGUUUUAAGCUAACCUUCAUCCUUUUGGUGAUGGUGACCUCUGCAAUUAUUACACCCCACUGUCAUCCUUUUGGUGUCAGUAAUAUUUGAAGUCAUUAUAACUUAUUAUCAUCCUUUUGGUGGUAACGAGUUUCGAAGUUAUGAUUCCACCUUCAUCCUUUUGGUGAUGGUGAUUGUUGAUUCAUUAUCAUCCUUUUGGUGAUAACGAGUUCUGUUGUUUGUAGCGCCUUCAUCCUUUUGGUGAUGGUGACUAUUGACUUAUUAUCAUCCUUUUGGUGGUAACAAGUUUUGUCGUUUUAACAAUACCUUCAUCCUUUUGGUGAUGGUGAGUGUUGACUUCUUAUCAUCCUUUUGGUGAUAACAAGUUUGUGUCUUGAUCUUACCUUCAUCCUUUUGGUGAUGGCGAUCAUUUGUGUUGUCAGCUUAUUAUCAUCCUUUUGGUGGUAACUAAGUUUUGUCGUUUGACAAAUACCUUCAUCCUUUUGGUGAUGGUGAUUGUUGACUUCUUAUCAUCCUUUUGGUGAUAACAAGUUUGUGUUUUGAUCUUACCUUCAUCCUUUUGGUGAUGGUGAUCAUUUGCGUGUGUGCUUCUUAUCAUCCUUUUGGUGGUAACAAGUUUUAUCUUUUGAUUAUACCUUCAUCCUUUUGGUGAUGGUGGUUAUCAUCCUUUUGGUGAUAACAAGUUUGUGUCUUGAUCCUACCUUCAUCCUUUUGGUGAUGGUGAUCAAUUGUGUUGUGUUCUUAUUAUCAUCCUUUUGGUGAUAACAAGUUUGUGUCCUGAUUAUACCUUCAUCCUUUUGGUGAUGGUGAUUAUUGAAGUUAUCUGACUUAUUAUCAUCCUUUUGGUGAUAACAAGCUUUGUUGUUGGAUCUUACCUUCAUCCUUUUGGUGACGGUGAUCUUUGAAGUUUAUGAGUUAACUAUCAUCCUUUUGGUGAUAGCCUUGAUCCUAUACUCUCAGUAAUGGAAAAAUUUACCAGAAUGACCAUCAUCCUUUUGGUGAUAGAAAUCUGUGAAUUGUGUCUAACUUUCAUCCUUUAGGUGAUAGCGAGAUUUGUUGUUGAUCUGACCAUCAUCCUUUUGGUGAUGGCGAUCUUUGUUGCACCCACUGUAACCAUUAUCCUUUUGGUGAUGACUACCUUAAAAGCUCAGCUUAUCCAUCAUCCUUUUGGUGAUGACAAUCCUCAAAAUCAUGGUGAAUCUCUGUCAUCCUUUUGGUGUCAGAAAACCAGUCCCACCUUUGUCUUCACAUCAGAAAUAACCUGUGCCAGAUUUGAAUGUUGACUCGAGGGUUGGCAUUGAUCGAACAUCCUACCCCCAUUACCUUGGCAUCCAUUGCAUUUUCAUCUGCAUCUCUCCAUUGCAUUUCAAAGGACAAAAUUUGGAUCCUUUAGUAUUUAAUUACCUUCCACCACGAAUGUAUGAUGACCUUUAUCAUUCUUACUUUCUAGUUCAAGAUAAUUAAAUAGGGGCAGCUGUCGUACCCCAAUUUUGUCCGGGCAUUUUUAAUUUUUUCAAAAUUAAUUUCAGUUUCAUUUUUGCAUCAUACGCAUAGCAUGACAUACAUUUGCAUCAUGAAUAAACACCUAAAAUGUCAGUCAGAAGGAAUUUAUUUGAGAAUACAGAAAAAAUCGGUUGAAUCGUUAAAAUUUGAGAAAAGACUGUAUUUUUAAUAAGUAGGUUUUGUGCUGACAAUUUUAAUGUGACUGGUUUAUUUAUUAUUAUUAUUUUUUUUAUUUUUUUAUUUUCUUUCUUUUUUCGAAUUAAAUUUGUACUCGAUUUUUUUUAAUUGGUCAAAUAUUAGUUAGAGUUUUUUUUUAAAUAUUAUUUAAUUAAAUAUUAGUUAAUGUUUUUUAUAUUAAUUAGUUUUUUUAUAUUAGUUAGAUUUUUUCUAAAAUAGUAGUUAAUUUUAGUUUUUAAAUAUUAAUUAGUUUGUUUAGUUAGAUUUUGUAAAAUAUUAGUUAGAGUAUUUUUUUUUUAAUAUUAAUUAGUUUUUCUAAAUAUUAGUUAGUUUUUAAAUAUUAGUUAGAUUUUUCUUUUUAAUAUUAAUUAGUUUUUUUUAGUGUUAAUUAGUUUAAGAGUUAGUUAGCUUUUUUAUUAGUUAAUUUUUAAAUAGUAGUUAGUUAGAGUUUUUAAAAUAUUAAUUAGUUUUUUUAUUUUUUAUGAAUAUAUGUAUUUUACAUUGGAUUCCAAUCCAUAAAAAAACAAAAAAAACAAAAUCUCCCAACGUCUCUCUCCAUCCACUCCCAACAGACCCUGCUCCACUACCUCUCCUCUCUCUCGUACCAGAAAAGACAAAAAAAGAAAAUAGAUAAAUGGGAACGUUACUCUCUCACUCUCAGACCACUAUUCACUCUCUCAAAAAAAAGACAAUCUCUCAAUUUCCUCUCAACUCUGAGCUCACACAAUCCCCUUCCUCUCUCGCCCCAAAUCUCUCACUCUCAAUUCUCAGCUGAAACUCUCACCGACAAACCCUCCUCUCUAAAAUCCGCCGCCACCACCUUCUACCACCACUAAACACUCACCAACCGUCAACCCUCCGAAUCCUUCAUCAUCUUCGUCAUCGCAACUCAACCGUUCACCGCCACCCAAAACCCCUACCGUCGCGGCGACUUCCACCUUCAAACCCUUAAACCACCUUCGAAACACCGUCAAAACCGCCGUCGCUCUCACCGGCAAACUCUCUCCAUCUACCUUCAAAUCGCGCCCUCACCGACAAACCCACACGAAACCUACUCAUCUCACAAUCUCCAAGCCGUCACCAUCCAUCAUCGCUUCCGUCCACAAUCGCGACCCAUCUUCACCGCUAAAACCUAAUCUCUAAAUCCGCCGUCAUCACCGUACCGAAGCCGUCGGUGACUUGUCAGUUCGCAACUAUCUUCGAC
rnacentral:lncRNA from 1 species